UUAAACUGAAGAGUUUGAUCAUGGCUCAGAUUGAACGCUGGCGGCAGGCCUAACACAUGCAAGUCGAGCGGUAACAGGGGUAGCUUGCUACCCGCUGACGAGCGGCGGACGGGUGAGUAAUGCAUAGGAAUCUGCCCGAUAGUGGGGGAUAACCUGGGGAAACCCAGGCUAAUACCGCAUACGUCCUACGGGAGAAAGGGGGCUUCGGCUCCCG
rnacentral:rRNA from 1 species